rnacentral:lncRNA from 1 species
UAAAAUCGAUUUAUUGACCGGCAGGUGCGAGCAGCGGCAGAUGGAGAGUAGCGCUGCCGGGGCGCAUCUGCGGGGAGCGGCGGCAUCGAUCCCGGCCCCCCUCCGAAACCUAUCGGCCUUUUCUGCGGGCUCGUUCCCAACUGCAGGGCCAAGGUCCGCGAACCCGCGGCGUCAGAGCGUCUUGGGUUGCUCGGUUCCCCCCCCUCCCCUGGUCACAGAGCCUGGGCUGCGCCCCCGCUGCUGCCAGGCCCUGCCAGCCCCACUGCCCCAGUUGGCACGCGGCGGGAGGGGCUGACGCGUGGCAGCGCCCUGCGGCAGAUGAGGCACGCGCCGGCCUCAUUUCAAUGUGAAUGGAUCGAAUGCAGCAGCCAUGUGGCAGCAACAGUUUGCAAAUCUCUCCGCCUUCUGUGCAGCUCCCUGGCCGCCGCUCCCUGCACGUGGCCGCUUCUCCGCAGCGACCGCAGGGGCGCCCCUCAAGGCUUAAGCGCCCCGCCCAAGCCAGGCCUGCUCCCCCGCCCCCGGCCUGCCAGGAGGGUGCUCUGGCCCGGCCCCCACCGCGCUCCUUCCCGCUGCAGGAAGGCUCGGAUUCCAAACAGCAGUUUGCCGAGCGACAAGCGCCAUCGGGUCAGAGACUUUGUAGAUCUCUGGGAUCCUUCGCAUUUUGCUUCUUUGAGGAUGUAUGGCACCCA